UCACAAAUUUUAUUAACACACUACAUCAUCAGCAUGGAAUCAUGUCCUCCGGAAUGGUGGCUGAAGCAUGAAGGGGCAUAUGAAUGUUUAGCUUUGUUAACUUUAUUUUCUUUUAACACUGUCCAUUAGUGGCCUACCAAGUACCGGCUCUCUGUAUAAUACUGCGCCACGACUGAUUAGUCAAAGGCAUUUAUAAGGAUAAAUGUCAGAGACUUCAGUGCACUAUUUACAUCAGGUCUAGUCAUUGGUGCAUCUGGAUCAAGGCCAACUUUCCUGAAAAUCAACUGCAGAACUCAGUUGUAAUAACUGCCAUCGUUGUUGACUAAUGAAGCCAAAGAGGGAGCCAGCACAAGGGUCAAUGAUCUGGGAAGUGGAAGAAAUUCUGAAAUGGAGUACUCCAUACAGUUUUUUCAACAGUCCUACCAACCAGAGCAGCAGGCCCAGACGGUGUGGCAGGCAGACCAACAGAAUGUUCUCCAGGACUUUAUCAAGGAACAGAUGGCCAUACAGCAUGGGAUACUGCAGAAUCUGGAUCCAAGAGAGCUGUCAUUGACCGGAGAAAACUAUGAAGAGAAUCAUUUAAAUGUUUUUCCAUUUAAAAAAAAAAUUCCAGAAUUUUAUUUAAUCUGAAAUAUCAGCAAGAUUUAAAUGUAAGACUUUUGUGUCAAAAUAUGUACCUUUCAUUCACUGUCAUAGGUUUGCACUACAAUAAAUACAGUAACUCCUCACUUAACAUCGUCCCGAUUAACGCUGUUUUGUUGUUACAUUGCUGAUCUAUUACAGAACAUGCUCAUUUAAAGUUGCACAAUGCUCCCUUAUAACGUCCUUUAGAAGCUGCCUGCUAUGUCCACUGCCUGCAGGAAGAGCAGCCCUUUGGAGCUAGCUGGUGGGGGCUUGGAACCAGAGUGGGCUGGCAGCCCCCCUAUCAGCUCCCUGUG